UACGAGGGGGGCAAAUGUUGUUCGGAAUCACUGGGCGUAAAGGGUGCGUAGGCGGGUUUUUAAGUCAGGUGUUUAAUCCCGGGGCCCAACCCCGGACCGGCACUUGAAACUGGGAAUCUUGAAUAGGGGAGAGGUCAGUGGAAUUGGAGGUGUAGCGGUGGAAUGCGUAGAGAUCUCCAAGAACACCAGUUGCGAAGGCGGCUGACUGGACCCAUAUUGACGCUGAGGCUCGAAAGCAUGGGGAGCAAACAGG
rnacentral:rRNA from 1 species